rnacentral:rRNA from 1 species
GACGAACGCUGGCGGCGUGCUUAACACAUGCAAGUCGAACGAUGAAGCUGGAGCUUGCUCCGGUGGAUUAGUGGCGAACGGGUGAGUAACACGUGAGAAAUCUGCCCUUGACUCUGGGAUAACUGCGGGAAACUGUAGCUAAUACCGGAUACGAGGCUCGAAGGCAUCUUCGGGUCUGGAAAGAAUUUCGGUCAAGGAUGAGCUCGCGGCCUAUCAGCUUGUUGGUGAGGUAAUGGCUCACCAAGGCGACGAGGGGUAGCCGGCCUGAGAGGGUGACCGGCCACACUGGGACUGAGACACGGCCCAGACUCCUACGGGAGGCAGCAGUGGGGAAUAUUGCACAAUGGGCGAAAGCCUGAUGCAGCAACGUCGCGUGAGGGAUGAAGGCCUUCGGAUUGUAAACCUCUUUUAGCAGGGAAGAAGCGAAAGUGACGGUACCUGCAGAAAAAGCACCGGCUAACUACGUGCCAGCCGCCGCCGUAA